rnacentral:rRNA from 1 species
UACGUAGGGGGGCAAGCGUUGUCCGGAAUCAUUGGGCGUAAAGCGCGUGUAGGCGGCCCGGUAAGUCCGCUGUGAAAGUCGGGGGCUCAACCCUCGAAUGCCGGUGGAUACUGUCGGGCUAGAGUGCGGGAGAGGCGAGUGGAAUUCCUGGUGUAGCGGUGAAAUGCGCAGAUAUCGGGAGGAACACCAAUGGCGAAGGCAGCUCGCUGGGACGGUACUGACGCUGAGGCGCGAAAGCGUGGGGAGCAAACAGG